AUGACACAUAAGGCUCACAUCCUUUUGCAUGCAUACUCGGGUUGAAUCACACGUACUGAUCCAACCAAUCAUACGUCCCCUACACAGUCACAUACAUAUGUAUAUAACCUACGUUUCAUGUUUUCCUUUACACACCAUUAGCACGUAACACAUAGAUUGUUUGUACAUAGGCCACGGCCUCCCUCAGAUGUCUUAUUCAAACAUGCAAACAUUUCUGAG